rnacentral:rRNA from 1 species
AGUGAACGCUGGCGGUAGGCCUAACACAUGCAAGUCGAACGGCAGCACAGUAAGAGCUUGCUCUUACGGGUGGCGAGUGGCGGACGGGUGAGGAAUACAUCGGAAUCUACUUUUUCGUGGGGGAUAACGUAGGGAAACUUACGCUAAUACCGCAUACGACCUACGGGUGAAAGCAGGGGAUCUUCGGACCUUGCGCGAUUGAAUGAGCCGAUGGCGGAUUAGCUAGUUGGCGGGGUAAAGGCCCACCAAGGCGACGAUCCGUAGCUGGUCUGAGAGGAUGAUCAGCCACACUGGAACUGAGACACGGUCCAGACUCCUACGGGAGGCAGCAGUGGGGAAUAUUGGACAAUGGGCACAAGCCUGAUCCAGCCAUACCGCGUGGGUGAAGAAGGCCUUCGGGUUGUAAAGCCCUUUUGUUGGGAAAGAAAAGCAGCAGGUUAAUACCCCGCUGUUCUGACGGUACCCAAAGAAUAAGCACCGGCUAACUUCGUG